rnacentral:lncRNA from 1 species
UUUUUCUAUCUAAUAAAAGGUUCACAAACCAUCUGUUUUUCUCCCUAAUGCCUUGCCCAAAGGUUUUUCGUUCCUAUUUCAGGCUUGGGGCCAACUGACAUUCCCCUCUUUUUUUUUCCCAGCCUUGUAAACAAACCCUUCUCUCUUUUUAAUCUUCCAGUGCUGUUUCCUACCCAUCGUUAUGCAUAUUCAUUGCGAGUAAACAUUUUUAGUGUCUACACUUAAUCUCUUCCACUGGCAAUUACUGUUCUAUGCUGUUUUGUAAUGCAGAAGGGCCAACGCUUUCCCUUCUAAUAACAGCUGGGUCGCAGAUGGGGCCUGCAGUCAUUGUAGAAAAUAAAAAUUUACAAGAUGCCAGUGGAAUUUAUUUCAGUUUUAUGGAGUCACAGGAGGAACCUUUCUGUUAUCCGCCUUCAGUGAAAUCUGCAGGCACAAGAAACAGCCAGAAGAGGGACCACGGAUUAAUUAGCAUACUCCGAGCUGACAUCACCGACGAUGUUGCCGAGGACGCUUAUAAAGCCAAGCACUGCUCUGGGCAUUUCAGCUCUGCUGUUAACCAAAGGGAAGGGCAAUGGCUCCUGACAAACGGAAAGCAGUGUCGGUGGCAGAGGGUGGCAGGCUUUGGGAAGGAGCUGAGGAAAAUGGAGCAUUCCCGAGCGCCGUGCUCCCGGCGGCUGCUGCGGCCCACGGGAUAUUGAGGAGCCGAGAUACACCAGAAUUCUCUCGAAGAAGCAUGAAACAUUAAAAUAUGUGGGAUGUGUUUCCCAGGCACACAACAAGGUACCAAAAAGAAUAGAAAUCCCCAGCGUGGCAGGACCACUCGUCGGGGCACACUUAGAUUAAUGCACACUUAGAUUAAUGCAUUAUUCUGCGCUGAAGGAUUCUGCCCUGGAUAUACUGAACC